GACGAACGCUGGCGGCGUGCCUAAUACAUGCAAGUCGAGCGAGCUUGCCUAGAUGAUUUUGGUGCUUGCACUAAAUGAAACUAGAUACAAGCGAGCGGCGGACGGGUGAGUAACACGUGGGUAACCUGCCCAAGAGACUGGGAUAACACCUGGAAACAGAUGCUAAUACCGGAUAACAACACUAGACGCAUGUCUAGAGUUUGAAAGAUGGUUCUGCUAUCACUCUUGGAUGGACCUGCGGUGCAUUAGCUAGUUGGUAAGGUAACGGCUUACCAAGGCAAUGAUGCAUAGCCGAGUUGAGAGACUGAUCGGCCACAUUGGGACUGAGACACGGCCCAAACUCCUACGGGAGGCAGCAGUAGGGAAUCUUCCACAAUGGACGAAAGUUUGAUGGAGCAACGCCGCGUGAGUGAAGAAGGGUUUCGGCUCGUAAAGCUCUGUUGGUAGUGAAGAAAGAUAGAGGUAGUAACUGGCCUUUAUUUGACGGUAAUUACUUAGAAAGUCA
rnacentral:rRNA from 1 species